rnacentral:lncRNA from 10 species
GAAGUGCGCUGGAGAAAUCCUUAGCUGUCAGCCAAGGUGGAGAGCUCUAUGAAGAGUGGCUGGAACUUAGAAACGGUUGCCUCUGCUGUUCAGUGAAGGACAAUGGCCUUAGAGCUAUUGAGAAUUUGAUGCAAAAGAAGGGGAAAUUUGAUGACAUACUGUUAGAGACCACUGGAUUAGCAGACCCUGGUAAGAAGUGAGAUUAUUAAUAACCAGAAUAUAGUUCUGUGAUAUAUUGUAAAUAGAUGUAUUAGAGGAAUAUCUAAAAUGAGUAUUAAAGCUUUUGUUAGUAUUAAACCAAAAACUUUUUUUGGUUUAAAAGAGGAAAAGUACUUGGUUGUCAUUUUCUUUGGCAGUUGAAUGAAUGAUCAGAGUAUUUCUUGGUGCUUUUAAGCUGUUAAUAGAAUUUGAAGUUUUAUUGAUUGACUUAGGAUUAUUUGUAAGAACAGAAGUUGUUAAAAAUAAGGACAUGUAGGAAGAGCAGAGACGUUCUACCUCUAAGUACAGUUGUCCCUUGGCAUCCAUGGCGUAUUAGUUCCAGAACCUCUGAGGAUACCAAAAUCUAUUAAUGUUCAAGUCCCUUACAUAAAAUGGUGUAGUAUUUGCCUAUAACCUAUGCACAUCCUCCCAUAUACUUUAAAUCAUCUGUAGAUUACUUAUAAUACCUAAUGCAA